UUUCCUUGGAAAGAUAUAAAAAGUGUUGGGGGAAUUACAAGACUUCUAAUAUUUUUAAUUAGUUGACUUUAUUUCUACUAAAUUUCUCGAGGAUAAGCUCGAGAAAAAGUUAAGAUAUUUAUGUGUCUCAUUUAUUGUGUGGGCUUAAGAUUGGUCAUCACAAAAGUUUGUUAUAAAAUAAGUAGCUAAAGACAUAAAAUUUAUUUAUUUCAAUCUAACAAUCUUACAGGGAUAAAAGCAUUAAUUAAAAAAGGUUUUAUACCUAUGCUAGGAUGAGUAUUAUAAAACAACUUAAUAAGGAGAAAUUAUACUAUAAAUCUUCUUAAAAAAAUAAGUUAUUUAUGGAAAAUGGUAAGAAGGAACUCGGCAAAUUAGGCUGCUUCGCCUGUUUAUCAAAAACAUCGCUCUUUGACUAUACAAAUAUAAAGAGUCGAGCCUGCCCAGUGAAUUUUCAACGGCCGCGGUACUCUGACCGUGCAAAGGUAGCAUAAUCAUUUGCCUUAUAAUUGAAGGCUAGUAUGAAUGGUUUGACGAGAGCAGCACUGUCUCCUAUCCACUUUCUAGAACUUAACUUUUAGGUGAAGAGGCCUAAAUUUAAUUGAAGGACAAGAAGACCCUGUCGAGCUUAAAAGACAGCAUAGAAGUUAAUAUAAAUAUAAAUAAAUAUUCUAUUAAACUUUUUAUUGGGGCGACUAAGGAACAAAAAAAGCUUCUUGUAAAGAAAUUACAGGCAUGUGCAGAUCCGGCAACUAGCCGAUCAAAGAAAUUAGUUACCGCAGGGAUAACAGCAUAAUCUCUCUUGAGAGACCUAAUCGAAAGAGGGGGUUGUGACCUCGAUGUUGGACUAGAAUAUCCUAAAGAUGCAGAAG
rnacentral:rRNA from 1 species